rnacentral:rRNA from 1 species
GACGAACGCUGGCGGCAUGCCUAAUACAUGCAAGUCGAGCGAAUGACGAAGAAGCUUGCUUCUUCUGAUUUAGCGGCGGACGGGUGAGUAACACGUGGGCAACCUGCCCUGUAGAUUGGGAUAACUCCGGGAAACCGGGGCUAAUACCGAAUAAUCCAUUUCCUCUCAUGGGGAAAUAGUUAAAAGACGGUCAUGGCUGUCACUACAGGAUGGGCCCGCGGCGCAUUAGCUAGUUGGUGAGGUAACGGCUCACCAAGGCGACGAUGCGUAGCCGACCUGAGAGGGUGAUCGGCCACACUGGGACUGAGACACGGCCCAGACUCCUACGGGAGGCAGCAGUAGGGAAUCUUCCACAAUGGACGAAAGUCUGAUGGAGCAAUGCCGCGUGAGGGAUGACGGCCU